UCCCUGGCAGUCCAGUGGUUAGGACUUUGUGCUUCCACUGCAAGGGGCCUGGGUUCGAUCCCUGGUUGGGGAA
rnacentral:tRNA from 1 species